UAGUCCACGCCGUAAACGAUGAAUGUUAGCCGUCGGGCAGUAUACUGUUCGGUGGCGCAGCUAACGCAUUAAACAUUCCGCCUGGGGAGUACGGUCGCAAGAUUAAAACUCAAAGGAAUUGACGGGGGCCCGCACAAGCAGUGGAGCAUGUGGUUUAAUUCGAAGCAACGCGAAGAACCUUACCUACCCUUGACAUACCGAUCGCGAUUUCCAGAGAUGGAUUUCUUCAGUUAGGCUGGAUCGGAUACAGGUGCUGCAUGGCUGUCGUCAGCUCGUGUUGUGAGAUGUUGGGUUAAGUCCCGCAACGAGCGCAACCCUCGCCUUUAGUUGCCAGCAUUCAGUUGGGCACUCUAGAGGGACUGCCGGUGAUAAGCCGGAGGAAGGUGGGGAUGACGUCAAGUCCUCAUGGCCCUUACGGGUAGGGCUACACACGUGCUACAAUGACGGUGACGAGAGGGCAGCGACUCAGCGAUGAGAUGCUAAUCCCAAAAACCGUCUAC
rnacentral:rRNA from 1 species